GGAAGACAAACAGUUUUCGACCGUGCCGUGCCGUGAGUUGUUGUGACAAUGCUGUAUCAAUAUGCCAGAGGACUCUUGCUGUCGUCGUGCGGGUUCCAUGGAGCAUCAAGAAAGGACAUUGCUUUCGAGCAGCAUGAGGAGAAAUGUUAAAUGUGAACCGGUGCGCGAUCCACGCACCUGCAUUUGACUUCGGCAUCGCUCCCGGUACGCCCCGCCUCUCCGCUCAGCCGCAUUCUCCGCCUCCUUGCCGCCAUCUCCAGCGUGUCUUGACCCGCUGCUCGUUCGCCGACUCCGCCUCUCCACAAUUGUGUGUUUUUUUUUUUUUACCAUUUACUCAACGUGCCAACUUCACUGCUUUUGGGUUUUGUACAUUGGGUUGGUUUUAGCAUCUUUAUUGUACAAAACGUAUAAAAUUGGCCGCCAGCAGCCUUUGAUUUUUUGGUUUGCAGGCCUGGAUGGAAAAAGUUUGAACAACCCUGCUAUACAGUAAGUUCCGUAAGAUCCAUUUUCUUCCCCCACGCUGCUUU